UUGCCCCUUCGGGGACAAGUUUAGUGGCGGACGGGUGAGUAACGCGUGAGCAACCUACCUUUCAGUGGGGGACAACAGUUGGAAACGACUGCUAAUACCGCAUAAGCUUGUAGUACCGCAUGGUACAGCAAGAAAAGGAGCAAUCCGCUAAUAGAUGAGCUUGCGGCUGAUUAGCUAGUUGGUGUGGUAACGGCAUACCAAGGCAACGAUCAGUAGCCGGGCUGAGAGGCUCUUCGGCCACAUUGGGACUGAGAUACGGCCCAGACUCC
rnacentral:rRNA from 1 species